ensembl:lncRNA
GAAACUCAACCGCUUUUAAUUUCAGGGCAAUUCUUUUCUGAGCUUACUACUUCCUGACACUUAAACUCAACAUGGCUUCUGGCAGCCUGCCUGUGCAGUCCUCCUGCUAUUCACACUGUCUCGACAUUCUUCCCAUAUCAAAUUGUGCUGACCUCACUAGGACUGUGCCGGAACGGCACAUGUGGCUUAUAGGCUGAAUCAUGAAAGACGUGUCUUUUUCCCUGAUGUCCCUUGGAUCAUUGCUCUGAGAAGAACCAACUGCCAUGUUGUGAGGACACUCAAGGAGCCCUGUGGAGAAUCACACCAGCCACCUACCAAAAGCCACAAGGGUGAAUCAUCUUAGAAACAGAUGCUCUAGCUUCAGUCAAGCCUUCAGAUGACUGCAAGUCUAUCCAACAUCUUGAAGUAAUCAUGAAAGAUCCUGAGUUAUAACCACUCACCUAAGCUGCUUCCAAACUCCUAACUCAAAGAAAAGAGCAUACGGUAGUGCCUUUUUUUUAACAGGCAAGCUGAGAGAGGUCAAUGCAAGGAAAGAGCUUAGGCUUGCCUUAUGUCCAAGUAGACAAGAAGAGCCAAGAAGUCUGGAAGACACCAAAAGGAAAGAAGGGUCAGGAAAGGUUAAUGCGUAUGGUCUUCGUGAACAAAGUAGUUGCCUGAG